UGAGGAAUAUUGGUCAAUGGACGAGAGUCUGAACCAGCCAAGUCGCGUGAAGGAAGACGGAUCUAUGGUUUGUAAACUUCUUUAGUGCGGGAACAAAGCGGUGUCGUGACGCCGGAUGAGUGUACCGCAAGAAUAAGCAUCGGCUAACUCCGUGCCAGCAGCCGCGGUAAUACGGAGGAUGCGAGCGUUAUCCGGAUUUAUUGGGUUUAAAGGGAGCGCAGGCUGCGAGGCAAGUCAGCGGUCAAAUGUCGGGGCUCAACCCCGGCCUGCCGUUGAAACUGUCCUGCUAGAGUUCGAGUGAGGUAUGCGGAAUGCGUUGUGUAGCGGUGAAAUGCAUAGAUAUGACGCAGAACUCCGAUUGCGAAGGCAGCAUACCAACUCGCGACUGACGCUGAGGCUCGAAAGCGUGGGUAUCGAACAGG
rnacentral:rRNA from 1 species